CACGAUCUCAAGAUAUCACGUUGGAAUCUGAAAAAAAACACGAAACCAAUCGAAAUUCGAUUUAUCUUAUCGCUAAUCAGAUACCCACGAUCUCGUCUUGGUUCUGUAAUGCACAGCUAUAACUCGCAGUCCUUUACCAGCCAUGAGGAGGAAAAACGGCAGCCAAGUCAAGCCAGGGGGCGAAAAAAUUUCCCCCACCGGCGAAAAGUUUUCCCCCACCGACUUCAUCCUUCCCGUUCCGCAGAGGACUGUGGCUGUCUGCAUGAUCAUCGCAGUUUUCCUUUUCUAUCUCUUUAAAGAUUAUCCGGAAGGAUUUUGAAGCAUAUGGCGGCUUCUUGAUCUUCUGAGAGAUUUCAGGCCUUAUCAGUUACGCCUCCGGGGAAGAAUGGUAGCUGAUAGGGGGAGACUAAAAAGAAAAGAAAGGGAUAGAAAACAAAAUGUUGAUUUGUGAUGGAAUUGAAUGUUAUUAAAGAUGGAUACAACUGA